UGGCAUUGCAAAAUCUAGGGU
ensembl:piRNA 21ur-2523 ncRNA